GUAUGGAAAGGGAGCACAUACGUUAAAACUGGAACAAUACAGAGAAGACUAGCAUGGUCCCUGCACAAGGAUGACAUGCAUAUUCGUGAAGCAUUCCAUAUUUUU